rnacentral:lncRNA from 1 species
AAGGAGUGAGAGGGUCCCCACCCCUUAGAAGCCACAGGCAGGGCAGGGUGGGGAGAGCAGGCGUGGGGUCCACCUCACGAAGCCAGUGUGAACCUCUGCUCAGCACCUGCCUGGGCUCCAGGCCCACAUGCAGGAGCUCCUCUCCCCCAUGACCCCAGGGUGGUGAAGGGUGGCCAGCAGCAGGAUACCUGUCCCCAGCAACGCCCCCGUGUGGUGUCCCAGCACCUUUUGUCUUGAAACCAACUCCCUGGGAGUCUGAGCUCUGUUCUUUCUGCACAGGUACAAUAGAUGACUUUAUUUGUUUUAAAUGUUUAAUAUAUAUGCAUAUAUAUUUGUCCAUAAGAAUUAUGUUUUAAGCAGCUGCUGUAGGGUACCUUUUUUUAAAAAAAUAAAAUUCUUCCAGUGGAGUUUAUUUUUUAAAGCACAAAACUGGUGCCAAGACUGGGUGAGGAAUGUAAAUUACCCCCUGAAUAUUUGAGGGUUUUUUUUUUUUCCUUUUGGGGAAGGGGACCUUAGCUGUCGGGCUCUUGAAGAUUGCUCUCGUUUCAGGGUGGGUCACAUUCUGACACUCUUGCACAUGACAGAGGUUCACUUGUACAGGCUCCAGCUUGCUUCCUUGACCAGUGUCCCCCGUGGGUGCUGAUGGAUGCGGGCUCUCUGCCUCCCUGGCCUUCACUCCCUCCACCCACCUUUCUCUCCUCUCAGCCCAGAGCCUUGUGGCGUGUAUAGUUUUGAAACUCCCGUUCUAUUUUAUGAUGGUUCAUAAUAGCCAGUAACCUAAUAAAAGA